rnacentral:lncRNA from 1 species
CUUGGCCCGCAAGAGUCCCGGGGGUCCGCCCGCAGCUGGCUAAGCGCUAGCCCGGCCUGUGGCGAGUCUGCAGAGCUCGCCCGGAAGUAGCGUUGCGCGCGCAGAGGAUGGGCGCUGAGCAGCACACAGCCCGCGGCGGGGUCUCAGGAUCCGCGGCGCUGCCCGGGGCCGGGGGAAGGAAGCCAGCCGAGGAGACGCACGUGCCCUGAGUCCGGGAGCGGGGAGCCUCUUCAUCUCUCCAUCCUCCCUCCGCGCGCGCCCUCAGCCGUCCUCGUCCGCUCACCAUGCACCUCCCCUCCAAGAAAGGGCCACAUGCGUGCCAGGGACGCGAGCCCCGGCCACAGGGACAUAGCAGCCUAGAAGGUGAUGCUUCGCACACUCAAGUUUGAAGAUUAACGGUCCUAGACGUCAAACCUAUUUGCAUGCCAAGUGUCGUUUUAUUUUAAAAUGUCUUCACUUUUUUUUUUUUUGGUAGAGAAGGGGGUCUUACUACGUUGCCCAGGCUGGUCUUGAACUCCUGGCCUCAAGUGAUCUUCCCAGCUUGGCCUCCCAAAGUGCUGGGAUUACAGGCAUGAGC